rnacentral:rRNA from 1 species
CUAACAAGGAUUCCCCUAGUAACGGCGAGUGAAGCGGGAUGAGCUCAAAUUUGUAAUCUGGYGGCCUUUGGUCGUCCGAGUUGUAGUCUGGAGAAGCGUUUUCCGCGUCGGACCGUGUACAAGUCCCUUGGAACAGGGCGUCGUAGAGGGUGAGAAUCCCGUCUUUGACACGGACUGCCGAUGCUUUGUGAUGCGCUCUCGAAGAGUCGAGUUGUUUGGGAAUGCAGCUCAAAACGGGUGGUAAAUUCCAUCUAAAGCUAAAUAUUGGCGAAAGACCGAUAGCGAACAAGUACCGUGAGGGAAAGAUGAAAAGCACUUUGGAAAGAGAGUUAAACAGUACGUGAAAUUGUUGAAAGGGAAACGCUUGAAGUCAGUCGCGUCUCGUGGGAUUCAACCUUGCUUCUGCUCGGUGUAUUUCCUGCGGCGACGGGCCAGCGUCGAUUUCGAUCGUCGGAGAAAGGCCUUGGGAAUGUGGCACCUUUGGGUGUGUUAUAGCCCUUGGUCGUAUGCGACGGUUGGGAUCGAGGACCGCAGCACGCCUUUGAUGGCCGGGGUUCGCCCACGUAACGUGCUUAGGAUGCUGGCGUAAUGGCUUUAAGCGACCCGUCUU